GAAGAAAUCACAUAACUGACCUUCCUUAAUCUCAAUUUCCACAACUAUAAAAUGGGUCUAUUAAAGACUAUUUUGUGGGAACAUAAAAAAGUUGCAUGAAGACUUCCCCAACAGCUGGACUACAGUCUUUGCUGGGUGAAGCCUCUUCCUAAGUCCAUGUUUGCCUGUGCUUUCCAGCAUGGAAACCACUCACCAUUUGUGCCUGCUGAGCCCUUGUAAUAUGGCUGAUCAGCAUUGAGGUGUGCUCUAAGUGCAAAGCACACACUGAAUUUUACAGACAUAGAACACAAAAAGUCAACAAGGAUCAGCCUCUGCAAGACUGCUUAUCAUACAAAAUCCAUCGAAUGCCUCUGUUUCACCACGGGUCAUUCUGGUUGUAUGUGGCACAUGGCUUAGAAGAUUUGCAUUGGAUCCCAGUUGGCUUUGGAGAUUGAAGAAGGUUACCAUUCUGUUUAGUCUAAACAUCUGCUAGAGUCAUGAAUUACUUUGAGGAUGAGCUCAUCAGCAGAAACAUGGUCUCUACAUGAAAUGGCAAAAAGAGAAAAGUUCAGUCUAUCACCCAACUCCUUUCAGAUUGUAGACUACAAUUUGGGCGUCACAAAGGGCUUCAGAGUCAAAAGUAACUUCUUUGCAAUUAACUCUUAAUUUACUGACUUGGACUUUGACAUGCAUUUUGAUUUUUAAUGUGUUAUUGUGGGGGUAUUAUUGUUUAAAGUUGAACCUAGGCACCUCCGUUGGGUCCCAGGCACCUGUCAUUCCUGAGGUGCAGUUGUCCCAUAGAACCAGCCUUGAUCUCAUACCCUUUGGUCUUUCCCCUUUCACUUUCUUGGACUGGACAAUCUUUCCACAAAACCCAGCUGAUGGUUGGAGUACCAGCUCUUUACUUAGCUCUUGAUGGGUCUUCUUUCUUAAGGAUAGGUCCUAUUGCUAGCUCCCAACAGUUAUUAGGAGAACAGAAGGGAAAAGUUUGUAAAAUACAUGGACAAGCUCUUUGAGAUGAGUAAAACUAUUGUCGAGUAGAGUAGAAAGAACAUGGACGUUGAAGCCAUACAGACCUGGGUUAUGUUUCUGAACUCCACUUACUACCUUGCAAUCUUUUGCCAAAUUUCUUGAUCUCUUCAAGAUUUACUUCUCUAAUUUGUUAAACGGCACUAAUAAAUUGUAGCUGUUGUUCAUUUAUACCAUAUAACACCACUUCUGUGGCUGUUAGUUCCCAGUUCUUCCCCGUGGUGGAGGACUUCUUCCUUCUCCCUGCCAGCCCACAUUGCGGGUGCCAGCUAUCCUCACACCCAAGCUAGCCAUGUCUAGACACUUAGGGUUUCCUAAGGAAAACAAGCGACGUGAUAGUCUACCAAAGAGAUAGUUGAAAGGCCAUGCUUAAUUGAUUCCUUGUAGGUUCUCUGCUGGAUUUCCUUUAGACUUGGGCUGAUUUUCAUUAGAUCGUGUGCACACCAGCAUAUUCUAAUUUAUGUGUCUGCCCUACUAGUUCUCAUUCUUUCUGAUAUACACCCUUUGGAACCCUAGUUAACAGCUUUAAUUGAUGGUUGUGAGGCAAUAAUGAUCUGCAAUUUGCACUCUUUUUUAAAUAGUAUGUUAAUCGCUUUUACUAUUUCCCCUCCAU